rnacentral:rRNA from 1 species
CACAAGCGGUGGAUGAUGUGGAUUAAUCGAUGCAACGACGAAAACCUUACCUACCCUUGACAUGUCCGGAAUCCCGAAGAGAUUUGGGAGUGCUCGCAAGAGAGCCGGAACACAGGUGCUGCAUGGCUGUCGUCAGCUCGUGUCGUGAGAUGUUGGGUUAAGUCCCGCAACGAGCGCAACCCUUGUCAUUAGUUGCCAUCAUUUGGUUGGGCACUCUAAUGAGACUGCCGGUGACAAACCCGGAGGAAGGUGGGGAUGACGUCAAGUCCUCAUGGCCCUUAUGGGUAGGGCUUCACACGUCAUACAAUGGUCGGUACAGAGGGUUGCCAACCCGCGAGGGGGAGCUAAUCCCACAAAGCCGAUCGUAGUCCGGAUCGCAAUCUGCAACUCGACUGCGUGAAGUCGGAAUCGCUAGUAAUCGUGGAUCAGCAUGUCACGGUGAAUACGUUCCCGGGUCUU